CUUGGUCAUUUAGAGGAAGUAAAAGUCGUAACAAGGUUUCCGUAGGUGAACCUGCGGAAGGAUCAUUAACAAAUCCACUCGUGGUGUGCGAAUGCCACGAUAAGCCCCGCGCAGCACGACUGCGUGUGAGACAUUUUAUCGUUUGACUGUUGACGUAUGUGCAAUGAGAAAGCUUUUAACAAUGGAUCUCUAGGCUCCCGCAUCGAUGAAGAACGCAGUGAAGUGCGAAAAGUAAUGCGAUUUGCAUGCUCUGUGAGUCAUCGAGUCUUUGAACGCAUAUGGCACCUUGCGGAGCGAUCCGGAAGGUAUGCCUGUUUGAGAAUCAUUAUAACACUAUUAUGAAUAAUAAUACUAUUGUGGGCCUUCACCAGUGAUCGCCCGGAAAGCGCGCCCUUUGGCUGUGUCAUGGAGCAAUCCGCUGCAGCCAGAACACCAUCAAAGUGAUCUCAAAUCAGGCAAGAGUACCCGCUGAACUUAAGCAUAUCAAUAAGCGGAGGA
rnacentral:rRNA from 1 species